rnacentral:rRNA from 1 species
UACGUAGGGGGCUAGCGUUAUCCGGAAUUACUGGGCGUAAAGGGUGCGUAGGUGGUUUCUUAAGUCAGAGGUGAAAGGCUACGGCUCAACCGUAGUAAGCCUUUGAAACUGGGAAACUUGAGUGCAGGAGAGGAGAGUGGAAUUCCUAGUGUAGCGGUGAAAUGCGUAGAUAUUAGGAGGAACACCAGUUGCGAAGGCGGCUCUCUGGACUGUAACUGACACUGAGGCACGAAAGCGUGGGGAGCAAACAGGAUUAGAUACCCGGGUAGUCCCUGAG